rnacentral:rRNA from 1 species
AUUGAACGCUGGCGGCAGGCCUAACACAUGCAAGUCGAGCGAGCGGCGGACGGGUGAGUAAUGUCUGGGAAACUGCCUGAUGGAGGGGGAAAACUACUGGAAACGGUAGCCAAUAACGCAUACUAUCAGAUGUGCCGAGGUGGGAUUAGCUAGUAGGUGGGGUAACGGCUCACCUAGGCGACGAUCCCUAGCUGGUCUGAGAGGACGACCAGCCACACUGGAACUGAUACACGGUCCAGACUCCUACGUGAGGCAGCAGUGGGGAAUAUUGCACAAUGGGCGCAAGCCUGAUGCAGCCAUGCCGCGUGUGUGAAGAAGGCCUUCGGGUUGUAAAGCACUUUCAGCGGGGAGGCGUUACCCGCAGAAGAAGCACCGGCUAACUCCGUGCCAGCAGCCGCGGUAAUAC